UACAGAGGAUGCAAGCGUUAUCCGGAAUGAUUGGGCGUAAAGCGUCUGUAGGUGGCUUUUUAAGUCCGCCGUCAAAUCCCAGGGCUCAACUCUGGACAGGCGGUGGAAACUACCAAGCUGGAGUACGGUAGGGGCAGAGGGAAUUUCCGGUGGAGCGGUGAAAUGCGUAGAGAUCGGAAAGAACACCCGUGGCGAAGGCGGCUCUCUGGAACGCAACUGACGCUGAGACGCGAAAGCGUGGGGAGCAAACAGG
rnacentral:rRNA from 1 species